rnacentral:rRNA from 1 species
GAUGAACGCUGGCGGCGUGCCUAAUACAUGCAAGUCGAGCGAACGGACGAGAAGCUUGCUUCUCUGAUGUUAGCGGCGGACGGGUGAGUAACACGUGGAUAACCUACCUAUAAGACUGGGAUAACUUCGGGAAACCGGAGCUAAUACCGGAUAAUAUUUUGAACCGCAUGGUUCAAAAGUGAAAGACGGUCUUGCUGUCACUUAUAGAUGGAUCCGCGCUGCAUUAGCUAGUUGGUAAGGUAACGGCUUACCAAGGCAACGAUGCAUAGCCGACCUGAGAGGGUGAUCGGCCACACUGGAACUGAGACACGGUCCAGACUCCUACGGGAGGCAGCAGUGGGGAAUAUUCCGCAAUGGGCGAAAGCCUGACGGAGCAACGCCGCGUGAGUGAUGAAGGUCUUCGGAUCGUAAAACUCUGUUAUUAGGGAAGAACAUAUGUGUAAGUAACUGUGCACAUCUUGACGGUACCUAAUCAGAAAGCCCCGGCUAACUACGUG